AGGAUAAAAUUACUGAUGUGGCAU
rnacentral:miRNA from 1 species